ACAAGACUAACUAAAUAGGAGCCAAAAAAUUGAAAUAUUUAUGACACUAUAAUGUUACAAAAAAAAAUUAAUAAUAUUUUAAAUUAUAAAUAAACCUAUAAACAAUAGUAAUCGCGUCAAAUUAUAAGAACGUAAAUAACAAAACGUAUGUAAUCCGUUUCGUUACAUUCACAUGGAAAUGGAUAAACAGUUUUUAUUAGAUUUGGCAAAGUAUCACACUGAUAUCUAAUUCAUGUAAAACAGAAAUAAAACAACGUAUUCCUAGCGUCCCAACCGACGUCUGACAUCGGAGCAGGUUAUAAAGAUAACGCGUGCCAUGUUAUUAACAAGACGUUGUGUGAACGCGAGAGGUAUUGUUCUAUAGAGUAUAGACCAUUGUCAUCAGAAGCACGUGCGGCGUCCGAGGACCAGGCCGGCUCUGAACCGAUAAAACUCUAUAUAUAACGAUACAGCCUUCCAGACGAAUCCAUCACAGAUCGGAUACCGAAACUUCUAGAAGACUCGAGUAGAACGACCCCCUUCUAGCAUGUUCGACGGUCGUGAGUAGUGAGCAGCUACACGACUUAGUAAAAGGGCGAAAGUUAAUCAUAAUUAAAAUAGUGCUAACAUUAUUAUAAUAAUGUCAAAUAAUUAAUAUACCGAAUUCACUUUGUAAUCACCGUACUGGAUUUUUUUGUGUUAAUCACGUUAUCAUUAUAAAUAAAAGAAAUAUAAAUACUUGAAAUGCAAGAACGUAUUAAAAAUUCUUUAUUGUUAAAUUAUAGCUCAAUAAAUCAUUAAAGAAUGUUAAAAAGA